rnacentral:lncRNA from 1 species
UCAAAGCCUUCCAGCCAAGAUAACUUCUUCUCAAGUUGUACAAGGAGUGUGUUAGAUUUUAAAAAUUCAGCUGAUUCUAGUAAAGAUAUCUGCAAAUUGCCUCAGUGGCAGGAUCAAAAUAAUGAAUUUUCUCGACAACAUUCAGAUAUAUCUGUUGGUGAGACAGACUGGCUCCUUUUGGACCCAGGUUCUAAAGAUCCUAAAAGGAAUGAUGAGCGUGAAAGGCAAGAGAAUCAACUAGAUAUAAAGCUUUUUUUCAAGCAAAAGCUUGGGAUGCUGAACACUUUCCAGAUGAUAAUGCAAGUGAGGGGAGCAAGGGAAGGGGUAAAAAGGAAAAUUGUUGGCAUCUUCCUGACAGCUGGGAGAUUAUGUCAAAGCCUUCCAGCCAAGAUAACUUCUUCUCAAGUUGUACAAGCAGUGUGUUAGAUUUUAAAAAUUCAGCUGAUUCUAGUAAAGAUAUCUGCAAAUUGCCUCAGUGGCAGGCAUAAUGAAUUUUCUUUACAACAUUCAGAUAUAUCUGUUGGUGAGACAGACUGGCUCCUUUUGGACCCAGGUUCUAAAGAUCCUAAAAGGAAUGAUGAGUGUGAAAGGCAAGAGAAUCAACUAAGAUAUAAAGCUUGUGUACG